UACGUAGGUGGCGAGCGUUGUCCGGAUUUACUGGGCGUAAAGGGUGCGUAGGCGGGCUAUUAAGUCAGUGGUGAAAUCCUGCAGCUUAACUGCAGAACUGCCGUUGAUACUGAUAGUCUUGAGUUUGGUUAAGGUAGGCGGAAUGUGUAAUGUAGCGGUGAAAUGCUUAGAUAUUACACAGAACACCAAUUGCGUAGGCAGCUUACUGAGCCAACACAGACGCUGAGGCACGAAAGCGUGGAAAUCAAACAGGAUUA
rnacentral:rRNA from 1 species